UAGGGAAUCUUCCGCAAUGGGCGAAAGCCUGACGGAGCAACGCCGCGUGAGUGAUGAAGGUCUUCGGAUCGUAAAACUCUGUUAUUAGGGAAGAACAAAUGUGUAAGUAACUAUGCACGUCUUGACGGUACCUAAUCAGAAAGCCACGGCUAACUACGUGCCAGCAGCCGCGGUAAUACGUAGGUGGCAAGCGUUAUCCGGAAUUAUUGGGCGUAAAGCGCGCGUAGGCGGUUUUUUAAGUCUGAUGUGAAAGCCCACGGCUCAACCGUGGAGGGUCAUUGGAAACUGGAAAACUUGAGUGCAGAAGAGGAAAGUGGAAUUCCAUGUGUAGCGGUGAAAUGCGCAGAGAUAUGGAGGAACACAAGUGGCGAAGGCGACUUUCUGGUCUGUAACUGACGCUGAUGUGCGAAAGCGUGGGGAUCAAACAGG
rnacentral:rRNA from 1 species